GACGAACGCUGGCGGCGUGCUUAACACAUGCCAGUCGAACGGAAAGGCCCUGCUUGCAGGGUACUCGAGUGGCGAACGGGUGAGUAACACGUGGGUGAUCUGCCCUGCACUUCGGGAUAAGCUUGGGAAACUGGGUCUAAUACCGGAUAGGAGCCAUCUUUAGUGUGGUGGUUGGAAAGUUUUUUCGGUGUAGGAUGAGCUCGCGGCCUAUCAGCUUGUUGGUGGGGUAAUGGCCUACCAAGGCGGCGACGGGUAGCCGGCCUGAGAGGGUGUACGGCCACAUUGGGACUGAGAUACGGCCCAGACUCCUACGGGAGGCAGCAGUGGGGAAUAUUGCACAAUGGGCGCAAGCCUGAUGCAGCGACGCCGCGUGGGGGAUGAAGGCCUUCGGGUUGUAAACUCCUUUCGCUAGGGACGAAGCUUUGUUGUGACGGUACCUAGAUAAGAAGCACCGGCUAACUACGUG
rnacentral:rRNA from 1 species